rnacentral:rRNA from 1 species
UAGCGGAGCGUGUGGUUUAAUUCGAGGGUACGCGAAGAACCUUACCUGGGUUUGACAUGAUGGUGGUAGCUUACAGAGAUGUGAGUGACCUUCGGGAGCCAUGACAGGUGCUGCAUGGUUGUCGUCAGCUCGUGCCGUGAGGUGUUCGGUUAAGUCCGCAAACGAGCGCAACCCUCGGCGUUAGUUACAAGUGUCUAGCGCAACUGCCCGUGGCAAACGGGAGGAAGGUGGGGAUGACGUCAAAUCAGCAUGGCCUUUAUAUCCAGGGCUACACACACGCUACAAUGGCGCAUACAAUGGGUCGCGAAGCCGCGAGGUGGAGCCAAUCCUGAAAGUGCGUCUCAGUUCGGAUUGCAGGCUGCAACUCGCCUGCAUGAAGUCGGAGUUGCUAGUAACCGCGA